rnacentral:sRNA from 1 species
CAGCAGCGUCUGCGGUAUUCCAAAUCUGUUUAAAAAACAUCCAAAACGGCCUGGACGGUUAGCCAGCCUGACCGAUACUGAACGUACUGGUGUGCGGCGUCUCCCCCAAGCGCCCCACCGGCCAAGACAGCGUGGAUUGCGUGUCUUGCUUUACUCCUAAUGGUCUUGACCCGGAUUCACCCCCCAGAAUCCGG